AAACCAUUUUUGUUUCUGUUGGGCAAAGUGUUUCCUAUUGCACUUCCUAACUGCGAGGGUACUGCCCAAGAUGGUAGAAUGCAAGAUAUAAACAGUAAAUUUCUCCGCUAUUAUAUACUGAUACCAAGACACUGGGAUCUGGAAACACAUUUAUGUUAUUUUGGUUUAUGGCAAUUAAUUGUCCAUGCUAGAGUAUGCUAGUGCAUAUAAGCAUACAAAAAGGAGACUAGGCUGCAUAAAAAUAUCCCCCACUCCGGUCUAUAUGAUUUCUACUACUGAUCUAGUUAUUCUUCCAAGCCCUGCGUACACCUUUAAAAAAAUAUUGAUGAGUAAUAACAAACAGCAAUGCUAUCUUUCUUGUGCUCAUUGUAGAUUCUUUCUAAUUGUCAUAUGCCCCCAUGGUGCCAAAAUCUCCGUUUCUGUGAAAGCGCUAAAUAUUCUCACCAGGAGGUAACUCCGCAAAUUUUGGUGGAGUUCCAAGUACACGUUCCAUGUCAAAACGAACUUCAAUAUUGCGAAUACCAUAUCCUACCACCAUCAGCCAGUAGAGCAAUUUGGCAAGUUCUGGUGCACUUGUCUCCGUUACACUAGUCUGCAAAAAAUAAAGGGCCAGACAUUGUCCAUCAGUUUCCCGCAGUUUCAACUACAGAUUGAUAAUCAUAAUAUAAAAAAUUCAUAACAUGAAGUCAGGCAAAAGCCUAACNGAAUGAUUCUCUAAUAGUAGUUAAUACUCAACUUGAACAAUUAACUGCUAUCGAUGAGAAUAUCAUAGUAAAAGGCAAGGAAAAGAGUGAGAGGCUGGGUUUUCUUAAAUUUGUCCUCGCGGGGUUUGGUUUUUCUCCUUUUAGUAGAAGAGCAUAAUUGAAUCCGGAUCCUUCCAAGGCCAAGCAAAAGGAGGGCCUCAAAAAGCCUAUCAUAAGGUUUGCGCAGUACUGUAGGAAAAGUUUAAAAGGUUCACACACGACCGUAAGAAAGGUUUUAACAUGAUCAUAGAUAUUGAAAAAACCAUUUUUGUUUCUGUUGGGCAAAGUGUUUCCUAUUGCACUUCCUAACUGCGAGGGUACUGCCCAAGAUGGUAGAAUGCAAGAUAUAAACAGUAAAUUUCUCCGCUAUUAUAUACUGAUACCAAGACACUGGGAUCUGGAAACACAUUUAUGUUAUUUUGGUUUAUGGCAAUUAAUUGUCCAUGCUAGAGUAUGCUAGUGCAUAUAAGCAUACAAAAAGGAGACUAGGCUGCAUAAAAAUAUCCCCCACUCCGGUCUAUAUGAUUUCUACUACUGAUCUAGUUAUUCUUCCAAGCCCUGCGUACACCUUUAAAAAAAUAUUGAUGAGUAAUAACAAACAGCAAUGCUAUCUUUCUUGUGCUCAUUGUAGAUUCUUUCUAAUUGUCAUAUGCCCCCAUGGUGCCAAAAUCUCCGUUUCUGUGAAAGCGCUAAAUAUUCUCACCAGGAGGUAACUCCGCAAAUUUUGGUGGAGUUCCAAGUACACGUUCCAUGUCAAAACGAACUUCAAUAUUGCGAAUACCAUAUCCUACCACCAUCAGCCAGUAGAGCAAUUUGGCAAGUUCUGGUGCACUUGUCUCCGUUACACUAGUCUGCAAAAAAUAAAGGGCCAGACAUUGUCCAUCAGUUUCCCGCAGUUUCAACUACAGAUUGAUAAUCAUAAUAUAAAAAAUUCAUAACAUGAAGUCAGGCAAAAGCCUAACACUCCUCAAGUUCAACAAAAAAGGUUACAUAUAAAUGUCCAACAACCAUAAACAAACUAAUAAGUUUCAAACAGAAACCAUAUAAUAUAAAUUCUCUGUCUGCAAUCUUUAUUUCACGAUGGAUAUGCCAAGAAGAGAGACUCCACUAGUAAAUGCUAGAGGUUAGGGUCACAGAUUAUCACACAAAUCAUCAACUACAGUCUACAUGUAACUUUCAAGGAAAUAAACACAAUCAGG
rnacentral:lncRNA from 1 species